rnacentral:rRNA from 1 species
AUCGAACGCUGGCGGCAUGCCUUACACAUGCAAGUCGAACGGCAGCACGGGAGCAAUCCUGGUGGCGAGUGGCGAACGGGUGAGUAAUAUAUCGGAACGUGUCCAGUUGUGGGGGAUAGCCCGGCGAAAGCCGGAUUAAUACCGCAUACGACCUACGGGUGAAAGCGGGGAUCGCAAGACCUCGCGCUAUUGGAGCGGCCGAUGUCAGAUUAGCUUGUUGGUGGGGGGAAAANCCUACCAAGGCGACGAUCUGUAGCUGGUCUGAGAGGACGACCAGCCACACUGGGACUGAGACACGGCCCAGACUCCUACGGGAGCAGCAGUGGGAAUUUUGGACAAUGGCGCAAGCCUGAUCCAGCCAUGCCGCGUGCGGGAAGAAGG